rnacentral:rRNA from 1 species
GUUGUAUGGUUAAGUGACUAAGCGUAUGUGGUGGAUGCCUUGGCAGUUAGAGGCGAUGAAGGACGUGUUAAUCUGCGAAAAGCUUUGGUGAGGUGAUA